GUUCAUUCCCAACAUUCUGAAGUUAGGGGGUGGACGUAACACAUGCUUUGUCAAGGAAAUGCAAGUGAAAAUGUCUUGGAAGCUCAUGUUCAUACGGGUUGCCAAAAGAGUGCAGCAGAUUGGAAUGCUGAGUGUACACAUGGAGGAUCCAGAGUGAAUUUGCAGGACAGAGAAGUAUACUUGUGGUGUGCAGCCAUUGAGAGUUACGGAGUAUAUUACCACAGCAUAACCCAUCCUAUCUUGACAGGUGUCAUAAUCAAUAAACGUGUGCUGAAUGAAUGAA